CCUGGGGACACACACAGCCCCGUGCCUGGGCUUAUCGGAACAGUCAGCCUGUGUUCCCCAGAGGUGGACUUUAAACACAGCCAUGGAGGCCGGGAGCAGAUCCCAGCGAUUAGAGAGGGCAAAGGCAAGCACCUACUUCUUUUGCAUUUGAUUACUCGGGGUAUCUCAUGAAGUGGAGAAGAGCAUUUGUGUGACUGACUUCACCAAGCUUCAUCCAUGCUGAGCGCUGCUCAAGAUCCAAGCCAGGAUUCUGAGCUACAGCCUCAGUCAUUAAGGCUCUUUUGACAUGACUUUGGAAUCCUUUCAAGUGGUGCGAGCCCAUGUUCCCUCACCCUGAGGCUGGGUAGAACUGAGGAUGUAGUUCAGAGAGACUUCUCAAGAUCUCCUGGCACAACUUUCAAGCAGUCAACGGGUUUUUAUAUGAAGACAGAAUCCACAAAGGCAUUCUUCCUGACCACACCUCAGUUCCUCUGCACCCUCUCCUCAGCUGGGCCCCGGUUUCGGACCUUUCAUGCUUAUCCCUCCACCCUAGUAUCUCAUCAGGCUCCUGUCCCUGUGCAGCAAGAUAGCCCAAUCACUGCUCGGUCAUCGGCUCCCUAUGCCCACUGUCCCCUGCCCCAUAACCUGGAGUUCAGCUUAGUCUCUCACUGAAAUCCUCAUUACAGCUGCACCAUCCCCACAUCCCCAAUAAAGUCUGCCUGUCUUAAACAAGCACCACAAAGAUCUAUCUUUAAACAUGGAGUACCUAAAGUGGAUUUAGUUUCACAUACCCGUGCA